rnacentral:rRNA from 1 species
UACGGAGGGUGCGAGCGUUAAUCGGAAUUACUGGGCGUAAAGGGCGCGUAGGCGGCCGAUCAAGUCAGAUGUGAAAGCCCACGGCUUAACCGUGUGAAGUGCAUCUGAAACUGGUCGGUUUGAGUAUCGGAGAGGAAAGUGGAAUUCCCGGUGUAGAGGUGAAAUUCGUAGAUAUCGGGAGGAAUACCGGUGGCGAAGGCGACUACCUGGACUGAUACUGACACUGAGGUGCGAAAGCGUGGGGAGCAAACAGGAUUAGAUACCCCAGUAGU